UCCAAAAGUGACAUGCCCUUCAUUUUUGUACUGGAUAUUCUCAAGAUAAUGUGGAUUUCCUGUCAUAUGUCUUGAACAUCCGCUGUCAAAAUACCAAACACUUUGUUCUUGGCUUGUUUCUGAGCAGUACGCCUUUAUGUGUCCUAAUUUGUGGCAGUAAUAACAUCUUAUUCUCCUUCGGUGUUGAAAGUGAUGUUGUGACACCUCAGGAUUUUCAGAAGAGUGGCUUUCACUGGACGCUGGAUUUGGAGAUCUAGGCCUUCCAUCUAGUGCCUUGAUUUCUUGUAACAGUUUGGCCUCUCUGUUUUUAGAUUCUAAUAAUUCAUUUUGAGUUUCUUUGAGGCGCUUUUCUUCUCUCUCUUUUUCACCUUUUAGAAACUGAUUUUCUUGCAUGAGCUCUAGAUUCACUUUGAUGAUUUGUUCCCAUUUAGCAUGCAAUUGGGUAUAUGACUCUAGCAGUUCUUGCAUAUCAUUUUCGUUUCCGUUGUCA